rnacentral:rRNA from 1 species
CCUACGGGAGGCAGCAGUGGGGGAUAUUGCACAAUGGGGGGAACCCUGAUGCAGCGACGCCGCGUGGGUGAAGGAGCGUUUCGGCGCGUAAAGCUCUAUCGGCAGGGAAGAAGGAGGACGGUACCUGACUAAGAAGCCCCGGAUAACUACGUGCAAGCAGCCGCGGUAAAACGUAGGGGGCAGGCGUUAUCCGGAUUUACGGGGUGUAAAGGGGGCGCGGACGGGAGCGCAAGCCAGGAGUGAAAGCCCGGGGCCCAACCCCGGGACUGCUCUUGGAACUGCGGGGCUGGAGUGCAGGAGGGGCAAGCGGAAUUCCUGGUGUAGCGGUGAAAUGCGUAGAUAUCAGGAGGAACACCAGUGGCGAAGGCGGCCUGCUGGACUGUGACUGACGUUGAGGCCCGAAAGCGUGGGGAGCAAACAGGAUUAGAUACCCGAGUAGUC